GUGUAUUAGAUACCCGGGUAGUCCACGCCCUAAACGAUGCGAACUGGACGUUGGGUGCAAUUGAGCAUUCAGUGUCGAAGCUAACGCGUUAAGUUCGCCGCCUGGGGAGUACGGUCGCAAGACUGAAACUCAAAGGAAUUGACGGGGGCCCGCACAAGCGGUGGAGUAUGUGGUUUAAUUCGAUGCAACGCGAAGAACCUUACCUGGCCUUGACAUCCACGGAAGUCUGCAGAGAUGCGGAUGUGCCUUCGGGAACCGUGAGACAGGUGCUGCACGGUUGUCGCCAGCU
rnacentral:rRNA from 1 species